rnacentral:rRNA from 1 species
CACGUAGGGGGCAAGCGUUGUCCGGAUUUAUUGGGCGUAAAGAGCUCGUAGGUGGUUCGGUAAGUCAGGUGUGAAACCUCCAGGCUCAACCUGGAGACGCCACUUGAUACUGCUGUGACUGGAGUCCGGUAGGGGAGCGUGGAAUUCCUGGUGUAGCGGUGAAAUGCGCAGAUAUCAGGAGGAACACCAGCGGCGAAGGCGGCGCUCUGGGCCGGUACUGACACUGAGGCGCGAAAGCGUGGGUAGCAAACAGG